AAAGAGCCUAUUGGCUCACCCUCAAGGAUGCCCUGCAGUUGUUGUUAAAGUCAUCAGAUGAAGCUAGCCUUCUCAGCUAGCCUUUAGAUUUGUCUGCUAACAGUAAAAAUCCUAUAAUAAAUCGGUAACAUAUGUUGCCAGGGAAGGAAAAGUGAUAUAAAUAAAGAGACUAGGAGACCCAAACCAAAUACAAUGUGAAAAGAAUUUAACUUUCAAUCUAUUCGUUGGUUAAUUAUCAUUUGAAAAGUAAUUUGAAAUGUGUUACUAUUAUUUGCUUAUAUUCUUCCUCAUUUUUCUUUUUUUCUCUUCAGAUUGCAUUUGUACCCAAAUAUUCUUCGUGAUUGCCUGCUUUGCGGCUUUGGGAUUCUUCAGGGAGUGGAGAACAUUCACAUGGAUUGACAUCCUACUUUUCCAUCAUCAUGUUCUGAAGUGGUCUACAUCGAACAAAAGAAAAUGACAUCCCCUUUCAACCAUCGAAUGUUAAGAUUCUCUAGUAACCGAUUGGGGGCUUGCUGGAAGUUUUACAAUUAGAGUCACACAUAUUGAAUUAUUUUCAUUCUUCCCAAACAUCAUUCUUUGAACUUUAUAAAUAUAACAAUACUGGGUUUAAAGUUUCAUGUGGCUUAUUUACAAAUAAAGGUAUCUUGAUAAA